GAGAAGAGCUUGCUCUUCGAUUCAGCGGCGGACGGGUGAGUAAUGCCUAGGAAUCUGCCUGGUAGUGGGGGACAACGUUUCGAAAGGAACGCUAAUACCGCAUACGUCCUACGGGAGAAAGCAGGGGACCUUCGGGCCUUGCGCUAUCAGAUGAGCCUAGGUCGGAUUAGCUAGUUGGUGAGGUAAUGGCUCACCAAGGCGACGAUCCGUAACUGGUCUGAGAGGAUGAUCAGUCACACUGGAACUGAGACACGGUCCAGACUCCUACGGGAGGCAGCAGUGGGGAAUAUUGGACAAUGGGCGAAAGCCUGAUCCAGCCAUGCCGCGUGUGUGAAGAAGGUCUUCGGAUUGUAAAGCACUUUAAGUUGGGAGGAAGGGCAGUAAGAUAAUACCUUGCUGUUUUGACGUUACCGACAGAAUAAGCACCGGCUAACUCUGUGCCAGCAGCCGCGGUAAUACAGAGGGUGCAAGCGUUAAUCGGAAUUACUGGGCGUAAAGCGCGCGUAGGUGGUUUGUUAAGUUGGAUGUGAAAGCCCCGGGCUCAACCUGGGAACUGCAUCCAAAACUGGCAAGCUAGAGUACGGUAGAGGGUGGUGGAAUUUCCUGUGUAGCGGUGAAAUGCGUAGAUAUAGGAAGGAACACCAGUGG
rnacentral:rRNA from 1 species